AAGAGCGUAGUAUAAUCGGUAGUAUAAUGAUCUCCAAAAUCAUCAGUAGGUGUUCAAGUCACCUCGCUCUUG
rnacentral:tRNA from 2 species